rnacentral:sRNA from 1 species
CCUUCCAACCCUGAUAUUCUAUGAUUCUAUGAUCACAGAACAGGUGCAGCAUAGACAACAGCAGUGCAAGUUUCCCUACACACAUCCAGCAGCAGACUUUAGCCCUAACUGGAGGGAGCACCUUCAGGAAUGAGAAGAGAGUUAAUUAUCUAUGUACCUAGGGCUCUUCGGUGCU